UACGUAGGUGGCAAGCGUUAUCCGGAUUUAUUGGGUGUAAAGGGCGUGUAGGCGGGAGUGCAAGUCAGAUGUGAAAACUAUGGGCUCAACCCAUAGCCUGCAUUUGAAACUGUACUUCUUGAGUGCUGGAGAGGCAAUCGGAAUUCCGUGUGUAGCGGUGAAAUGCGUAGAUAUACGGAGGAACACCAGUGGCGAAGGCGGAUUGCUGGACAGUAACUGACGCUGAGGCGCGAAAGCGUG
rnacentral:rRNA from 1 species